UACGAAGGGGGCUAGCGUUGCUCGGAAUCACUGGGCGUAAAGGGUGCGUAGGCGGGUCUUUAAGUCAGGGGUGAAAUCCUGGAGCUCAACUCCAGAACUGCCUUUGAUACUGAAGAUCUUGAGUUCGGGAGAGGUGAGUGGAACUGCGAGUAUAGAGGUGAAAUUCGUAGAUAUUCGCAAGAACACCAGUGGCGAAGGCGACUCACUGGACACGUAUUGACGCUGAGGUGCGAAAGCGUGGGGAGCAAACAGGG
rnacentral:rRNA from 1 species